AUUCAUUCAUUCAUUUCCUCACUCAGGAAAUGCCUACCUGGCCUCUGCGGAGCUGUGGUGCCACCCAGGAUAGAGCAGCUGCACCCUGUUCCCUCGGGGCUUAUUGGAAACAAGACCCAAUGCAUUUUAGCAGGCGUCUCAGGUGGGCCUGGGAGCAAUGAAGCUCUAUCCCUGACCCACAGACAUUCACCAAGCACAGUGUCCGCCAGAGGCUGCUCGCACAGCCCCCAAGGAGCUCGUGGGCUAUGGAGGUAGAUGUAUGGCCAUCAGAGAACUUUCUGCUAAGGGCUGGAGUGGAGGCCCACAAAGGAGACAUGCUGAGUUCUGACCAUAAAGGAGAAGGGUAACCCUCCCCAGAGAAGGUGGUAGUCAGUGGAUUUGGAAACGUGAUCAGGGCAGAAGCUGCGGAAGGUGAUGGACUUUGUGAACCGAGUGGGAGCAGCUGAUAUGACUGGAACCUCAUGUCUGGGCCCAGGUCAAAGAUGAGGCUGGUGGGAGCCCCACAGAGGGCCACAGCACCCUGGGGGUGGCAUACAGGAUGGAUGGGGAGGCACCACCCGCUGCAGCGGUCUGUGGCUAGGAAACAAGGAUUACGUUGUCACCGAGUGUGAAUUCAGAGUACCACGGACUCUAAUUCUUAUCGCCUCAAAGCCACUUUUGGUUCCCUGAGUGGUUUCCCCAGAAACAUUGAUAAUUCCUUUUGUUGGCCGGCGAGCCUGUUCCACACCCAGCCCCGAACCAGCAUUUCCGUGCAUUUCCUUGGCGAGCCUGGACACACGCACACGGGCAGGCGACAUCACCUGCGGAGGCCAAGCUACACGGCAGAGGCCCUGUGGAGGCUGGGCUCUAGGUGCAGCUUUGAGGGAGGGUUCUGGGUGCUGUCUUCCCGGGGGACAGUUGGUUUGUAACAAAGCUCUGAUUUCCUGGAAGAGUUGCAGCGCGUCCCCGUCAUGUAAGCCAUGCCAACCCUCAGGUGACGAAUGUUGGUCUUCCCCUUCAUGACUGUAUUCUUCCAGUUCAGCAUGUCCUCUCCUUGGUCACGGAGGACAGGCCUGGCCACUCUGUGCUCUUUACAAGGGAAGGUGUCACACAGCAGGUGACGCUCCCCUGCUUGGUCCUGUUGGCCUGGCCUCCUGUAGCUGAGACCAUCUGUGCACUGAGCUGCCUGACCCAGGAAGCGGGGUAGAAAGAGACCCGGACCUGGGUCCCAGUCUCCAUGGCUGAGCAUGUGGCCCCAUCCAGGGCUGCCCAUCCUUGUCCUCUUGUCCUUGUCCUAGGCCAUGCCAGUGAGACAGGUGGCUUGGGAGCAGGAAGCCACAGAUGGACCUCGGCAACCUGGC
rnacentral:lncRNA from 1 species